UAACUGCCCUUCCUCUCUCUCAAAACCAGGCACUCUCCCUCUUCCCCAAGCCACUCCUCUUUUUCUCUGUCAAUCUAUAAAUUGUCUCCAUGCCAAAACCACCGAAACCCCACCACUGCAAGCACCUUCUCUGAUUCUACUCAGUCUCAGUGAGGCAGUGCAAGCCAACCCAUUUUCAUGGUGUUCAAUUCAGUCUCUUCCCAACCCCAAACCAUAUCCGAGCCCGACCCGAAACCCGAUUCCAUGGCCUCCACUGUGCCUUCCAAGUCUUUUGUCCACCAAGCCCAAAACCAUGGCCUCCCUUUGCCCCAGUUGAAAUGGGCCAUGAGCAACAACACUACCACCACCAAAAGCAACGAAAACAACAAGACCACCACGAAAUGCAGCGGAAAUAACAACCCUUCUCUGCAACUGAGCAGCAACACCAAACUCCCACAGUUUGACCCGGUAGCUAAGCAGCCCGAGCCCAAGUCCUCCAAUGUCGAAAAAGAAGCCGACCCAAUUCCCGCCACGGAAGUGAUCGACGGCCCGGAGACCCAGAAGCCAAAAUCGACUGCUGAGGAUAAGAAAUCGAAGAUUUGCAUCCGGAUUCGGAGCAAAGAAAAGGCUGCUGUGGUGCCUGAGCCUGAACCUGAACCUGAACCGGAAAAUGAAAAAGAGAGCUCUGUUGCUGCUGCUUUAGCAGCGCUGGAGGAUGAAGAGACGAUUCAGAAGACUUGGAAUCUCAGGCCCAGGAGACCGGUGCCUAAGGCCAAUGGUCGUGCUGGUGCAUUGAAGACUGGUGCACCGCUGGUGCAGCAGACCGAGGCGGCCGGGGGCUCUUCUAAAGCUGGAGGCAAAGGUGCUCAAAAGAAGGACAAUAAACUGAAGAUAUCGGUUUCUUUAACAAAAGAAGAGAUUGAGGAGGACAUUUUUAUUAUGACUGGAGCCAGGCCAUCCAGGCGCCCAAAGAAGAGAGCUAAGAAUGUGCAGAAACAGCUUGAUCAUCUGUUUCCUGGGUUGUGGCUGAAUUCAGUAUCUACCAAUUCCUACCAGGUUCCUGAAACUCCAUUGAAGAGAAUUUGAACAUGCUGCUUUCAGGAUUAGAUGGGAUGAGGCUGCUUUUAGUUAAAUGUUUGGUGGCGAUUUUGAAGAAUUGUGAACUGCUCUAAACAUUUUGAACACAGAAGAUUGAGCAUACUGCAUUGUAAACGUGCUUGCACAAUCCUCAGGGUGCAUCUGGGCUUGCUUCCUAUGAAGAACUGACCUAGCUACCCAAUGUGGGUUUCUCCCUCCAAGGGCUGCAUCAGAGCCAGACACAUGUAACUUCAUGGGGGAGGCAACCCUGGCAUCCACAAUUUGGAGGUUAAUGGUAAUAAGGAAUACACAGACACACACAUAGUAAAUUGGUUUAAAAUGUAUCAUUACUUGAUUACAGCAUGCAUAACACUUUUUUGGUUGCAUAUUUUGUCAAAGGACCUGCCUGCAAACAUGUUUAUUUAGAUGUUUUCUUGGAAAUAAUGUUUGAUUGGUCACAUGCCUAUCAUGCCAUUAAACCGCCCACAGAAUCUUUGUUAUCAAACUUUUUCUUGGAAAUUUCUGAUCGCAUGGUUGUUUGUUCAAUUACAUCUUUUUGCUACAUAUUAUUCAAAAUUUUAUCCUGUACUGAAAGCUUUAUUUAGAUCCUCUUAAUUAAGGGCAAUCACAAAUUUUCUAUUUGUCAAUUUUGUCCUAGUUUCAAUCUGAAUAAUGUCAACCGUGCAAUUUGUGUAAAUAUCUAAUACUAUUAACCUAAUUGCUCAAAAAGAAAAAGUAAAACCUCCACAUGUCUGCAAUGUAAUCGUAGUUUGACAUAACAUUUAUGCUUAGGUCAUCCCUUCUAGAACCAGUGCCAUGACCAUGUGAGCAGCUUGUGGCUACUACCAUCAUCUAAAAGAAUUUUUGUCUUAUUCAACAUGGUAUUCUUUUAAGUUGCUACACUUGUAAUAUGCGAACAAGGUAGAUGACAAAAUUGCUACACUUGUUUUUGACUGAAUAUAUAUUCUUCGGUUCAUAAUGUUUUACAAAAUAGAUGAACAACUUCAGUACAAAUUGAAACGUUUAGAGUUUACAUUGCUUAAGUUGAAAACUAAAUAGGUCAGUUUGAUAUAAAUUGAAGAUUACAAGUUCAUAUUGCUCCAAAUUAAAAUUAGGCAUACCAACUUAAACCGUGCAGGCCGGAAACAGUACCCGCCCUCUUUGCUAUAGUUAUUUGGUUCACAAUAAAUGGCUAGUUGGAAACCUUCCUUGUGAGGCUGUAAUUGUAAUUAUGUUUCCAUAGUCACAUCUAACAACUGAUAAUGAGGUGGAUUGGGGGCUUUUAUGAUUUUAAUCAUUAUUUUAUUAUUGGGAUAGCAGUUUUCAAAUUUUAAUAUUCACAUUUCCAUAUUUUAAGGAUUUGUGUUUGUUUCCUGUUGACAUCCAAUGUCAUGGAUUGGUAUAGAUAGAAAUAUGUCACUUAAGCGGGAAAGUGUGUAAUUAUUUUGAGCUGGUGUUUGAUCUGGCGAUUAUGGAAGAUAUGAAGUAAGGUACUGUUGAAUGGUAGUCUUUCUUUCUCUUUUUGUUAUUUAUUUUAUUUUAAUAAGUCUGUUAAUGGUAGUCUUACUGUUACCGACCCUGAAGAGUUGUUUGUGUGCAUGGUAAAGACGCUAUAAGGCAGUAUAACAUUUAGAAUCCAGUUCAAGGGGUUUCUGCUAAGUGAGUUGAGCUGGAGCUGUCUGAGUUUGAGGAUUGCUUAUGUUAACGUGCAAUGCCGCAUGGUGUGAGCAAUCAAAGGCAAUAGCGAUCGGGUGGGUGGGUGUGAGGAGAUGAUAUUUGAGCUUUACUAUUGUCAGGCUGUGUGCUAUACUGUAUAAGUUUCAUGGCAGAGGCUGUGAUAGUUUGGAGAGGGCUGGCUGAAGAUUGAGGUCAGAGUCCAUUGUAACGUUCUCAUAGAGUCUGCGUAUGGAUGCAGCAUCCUCAACGAAAUUGCUUGUAGGCGUAAUAAAGUUGCUCAUGAUGUAGCAUCUUGAAAUGGUAAAAAUAUUGUAAGCUCCUGGGUGGGUUGUAAAUCCUCCUUACUGGCUGGUUAAUGCCUUGAUUGAAGCUUGAAAUUGUAUCAAAGACUUCAUAUAUUUCCGUAUUUAAUGAACUCCUAUCGGUUUGCCAUUAGAAAAAGGCAAGAGUAUUUUAUAAGAGCUCGAGUAGAUCAACUUU